CCAUAUGAUCACCGAAGUUAAGCAACGGCAAGCUUGGUGAGUACCUAGAUGGGUGACCACUUGGGAAUACCAUGUGUCGUAAG
rnacentral:rRNA from 1 species